rnacentral:lncRNA from 1 species
ACUGAUUGACCUAUGUUUCACGACUCUCUCUGUAUUGAUUAGUUCUGUUCCAUUUCAUGCGUUUCGAGCAAUCUUAUAAAUGUUAAGCAAAUAUGUAUGCUGUACUCUGUUGUCUUGGCUCCAUUUCCUGUUAAUGCAAAUGAAUUCCUUGAUUAGUUCUGUUCCAUUUCAUGCAUUUCGAGCAAUCUUAUAAAUAUUAAGCAAAUAUGUAUGCUGUACUCUGUUGUCUUGGCUCCAUUUCCUGUUAAUGCAAAUGAAUUCCUUGAUUAGUUCUGUUCCAUUUCAUGCAUUUCGAGCAAUCUUAUAAAUGUUAAGCAAAUAUGUAUGCUGUACUCUGUUGUCUUGGCUCCAUUUCCUGUUAAUGCAAAUGAAUUCCAGCUAAAUAAGAACGAAGGCAGCAGAUGCUGUAAUAACCAGCAGGUUUCUUCUCUGACUUGGAUCAGCAGAUGUAUAAUUCGUGAUCUGUGAGCUGCAUCAUAGUAGUGCAUGAAUCUAAUUGCUGCCCCCGUAAUUUUUAUUAAGUACGAAAACUGAUACUCCUUGACUUGUAUUCUGCAUUAGAAGCUGGAACAACAAUUGAUGAAACUGUUAACAGAUGAUUUAUCCUGAAACCAGAUUUGAGGUCUGUGUGUUGGCACGUUCGUAAGAAAUUGGCAUUUUAUGCAAAUCGUAUCAUCGGACUAGUGGGGUUGCUGGGGCAUACGCUAUCAAGUAUUUCUUCUAAUUGAACUGGUAAUUGCAAAGAGUGACCUUCAUCAUUAAUGUAAAAUCGCAUCCUGAUUUCGGACAAGUGAUUAAGACGGUGGAUUAAUCGACGCGUCUAUCGUGUUGAGGAAUCAAUUUCAUAAGAGCCCAAUUGAACUUUUUAAAGGAGGAAAAAGACUUGGGAGAGGAUUGAGCAGGUCACAUCUUGACUUUGAGCGCGUUUUUAGACGGCUUUCUUCUCUCCACUCCAGGAAUGCUAUUACCAUUUUUUCUCCGCCAUAAUAAGUUCGAUCAUUCAAUGAUGAACACAUUUUAUGUACAUAGACACUAAG